GAUGAACGCUGGCGGCGUGCCUAAUACAUGCAAGUCGAGCGAACGGACGAGAAGCUUGCUUCUCUGAUGUUAGCGGCGGACGGGUGAGUAACACGUGGAUAACCUACCUAUAAGACUGGGAUAAACUCGGGAAACCGGAGCUAAUACCGGAUGAUAUUUUGAACCGCAUGGUUCAAAAGUGAAAGACGGCCUUGCUGUCACUUAUAGAUGGAUCCGUGCUGCAUUAGCUAGUUGGUAAGGUAAUGGCUUACCAAGGCAACGAUGCAUAGCCGACCUGAGAGGGUGAUCGGCCACACUGGAACUGAGACACGGUCCAGACUCCUACGGGAGGCAGCAGUAGGGAAUCUUCCGCAAUGGGCGAAAGCCUGACGGAGCAACGCCGCGUGAGUGAUGAAGGUCUUCGGAUCGUAAAACUCUGUUAGUAGGGAAGAACAUAUGUGUAAGUAACUGUGCACAUCUUGACGGUACCUAAUCAGAAAGCCACGGCUAACUACGUG
rnacentral:rRNA from 1 species